rnacentral:rRNA from 1 species
UGUAGGCGGUCAGGUAAGUUGGACGUGAAAGCUCCUGGCUCAACUAGGAGAGGUCGUUCAAAACUGCCUGGCUAGAGGGCGACAGAGGGAGGUGGAAUUCCCGGUGUAGUGGUGAAAUGCGUAGAUAUCGGGAGGAACACCAGUGGCGAAGGCGGCCUCCUGGGUCGCACCUGACGCUCAGACGCGAAAGCUAGGGGAGCGAACG